CAGUCGCCGCGGUAAUACGUAGGUGGCAAGCGUUGUACGGAAUUAUUGGGCGUAAAGGGCUCGCAGGCGGUUUCUUAAGUCUGAUGUGAAAGCCCCCGGCUCAACCGGGGAGGGUCAUUGGAAACUGGGAAACUUGAGUGCAGAAGAGGAGAGUGGAAUUCCACGUGUAGCGGUGAAAUGCGUAGAGAUGUGGAGGAACACCAGUGGCGAAGGCGACUCUCUGGUCUGUAACUGACGCUGAGGAGCGAAAGCGUGGGGAGCGAACAGGAUUAGAUACCCGUGUAGUCCCUGUCUCUUAUAC
rnacentral:rRNA from 1 species